UUUCCGUAGGUGAACCUGCGGAAGGAUCAUUCAUAAUAAAGUGUUUUAUGGCACUUUUUAAAAAUUCAUAUCCACCUUGUGUGCAAUGUUAGAUCUCGUCAAUCUUGGCGAGAUUUUUAUACAUCAACUCAUUCUUUAACUAAUUUGUCUGAAAAAUAUUAUGAAUACUUAAUUCAAAAUACAACUUUCAACAACGGAUCUCUUGGCUCUC
rnacentral:misc_RNA from 1 species